rnacentral:rRNA from 1 species
UACGGGGGGGGCAAGCGUUGUUCGGAAUUACUGGGCGUAAAGGGUGCGUAGGCGGCGGGGUAAGUCUGAUGUGAAAUCCCGGGGCUCAACCCCGGAACUGCAUUGGAUACUGCUCUGCUUGAGUACUGGAGAGGAGACUGGAAUUUACGGUGUAGCAGUGAAAUGCGUAGAUAUCGUAAGGAAGACCAGUGGCGAAGGCGAGUCUCUGGACAGUUACUGACGCUGAGGCACGAAGGCUAGGGGAGCAAACGGG